UGCGUAGGCGGACUAAUAAGUCAGUGGUGAAAUCUCUCGGCUCAACCGGGAAACUGCCAUUGAUACUGUUAGUCUUGAGUUCGGUUGAGGUAGGCGGAAUGUGUAAUGUAGCGGUGAAAUGCUUAGAUAUUACACAGAACACCAAUUGCGUAGGCAGCUUACUAGACCGACACUGACGCUGAGGCCCGAAAGCGUGGGUAGCGAACAGGAUUAGAUACCCUGGUAGUCC
rnacentral:rRNA from 1 species